UAAGACAGAGGUGCCAAGCGUUAGGCGGAAUCACUGGGCUUAAAGCGUGUGUAGGCGGAAUUGUAAGUACCUUGUGAAAUCCCACGGCUCAACCGUGGAACUGCUCGGUAUACUGCUUUUCUUGAGCCACUUAGGGGUCGUCGGAACAAACGGUGGAGCGGUGAAAUGCGUAGAUAUCGUUUGGAACGCCAAAGGUGAAAACAGACGACUGGGAGUGUGCUGACGCUGAGACACGAAAGCCAGGGGAGCGAACGGGAUUAGAUACCCCGGUAGUCCUGGCCCUAAACGAUGUCGACUAGAUCGUGGUGGCUCUGACGCCAUCACGGUCGAAGCAAAAGUGCUAAGUCGACCGCCUGGGAAGUACGGUCGCAAGGCUA
rnacentral:rRNA from 1 species